UCUUUGUCCUCCUCUCUCCCUGAGCCGCGUCAGUGACUCCUGGGACUCCAGAGACAAACUGUGUUCUGCUGACCCCAAAAUUUGAUGUUGUCAGCCCAUUUCCCUUCUCUGAGCUCCAGACCCCUGAAUCUGACAGCCUCUCUGUUAUCGCUUCUUGAACUCACUGAGAUGAAGCAUCUGCCCCCUAGAGGAAUGAGAGCUCAAAAUAGAAAUAAAGAUUUCAUCCAAAGUGGUCACUGGAAAUGAUUGAAGCAGCAGUCCCUGAGGGGGACCUGACAGUGGCCACACGGCCUCUUCCUAUGAGAUUUUACGGAACAACCACUGAAGACACCAAAACCGUUAUCAGGGCAUUCUUCUCCUCCCCGCUCCUAACUCCCAUCUCAGAAGGCCUGGACCAGUGAUGGGGGCACAGCACAGGGCCUGGAAUGCACACGCUUCUGAGUUCUCCAUCCGCUUCUCCUCAGUCCGGGGCCCCUGAUCUCCCCUGGAGGUGGGGUGGACUCUUCCAGCCCUGAGAGUUGUCUGCACGUGGUCCUUUCUAUUUCCCACAGGGUCCUGGCUCCAAGUCAGGAGGACUCCUUCUUUCAGCAUGGUCCACCCUUCCCUGGGUUAACAAACAUUUGGUUCAUUGAAUGGGGGGAAAGGCAAUGGAGAAAAGAAAAUCCUGGGGACAAAAGCCACCGGUCAAUAUUCCAAAGUAGCCUCCUGGCACAGUGCUGUGGAUACUGAGAAUCUAGGAAAUGUGGGUGUGAAGACAGCAGAUGAACCAGAACUGCCUGAUGUCCUUAGUAGAUAAAUAGGCGUAGCAGACAGAAAAAAAUCAUUUUGCCAGAGAGGAGAAAAACAAGUGUUGUUUCAUCUUCAACAUUACACAGAGGAAUUUCUGGGGGAAAAUGUGAAGAUUUUGUGACUGUUGAAUAGCAAAGAGUAUGAGCCAUUUGUAAAUAUUAAGAAAAAUAAAACAUGUAUUUGUGCCUAAACGUAGCUAGCAAGAAAGUUAAUAAUCACCCACAUAUCUCCCCUUAGUUACCUAAUUAAUCUAAUUGCCUCCUACCAUUUUUUGACCUUUCUCUUCCCACAUAUCCCCAUUUAUUAUUUAUUACCUAAAUGGAGCAACACGGUCACCCCAAACAAAAAGCCUGCAGACAACCGAGAGAAGCCACAUGUUUGAGAAACACUCGCAUCACAUUUUCUUUGAAUCUGCAUUAUUAACAUACCUCCUUUUUUUAGAAUCUCAAACCCUGGGAGGCAAAUGUCAGAUGCAAGUGGAAGGCCAGUGACCUCAUGCUUUUCUGCAAAUACUGCUGGUUCUCCGGGGGCAGGAGGCCGACUCCAGAGGCUUCUUGCUAUUUGAUAAUCCCUCCGGACACAGCAGAACAACACGCACUAAGAGUUUGCCUGCAGGUGACUAAAACUUGACACUCCCAGAAUAGAGUCUGGCUGCCUUCUCCCUCAACACCCUCAACGCCUCCUUCAGACGCACCUUGACAUCUGCCUUCCUUUGGCUGAUUGAGAAAGACUUAAAAUGGUGAAAUCUUGGCACUGGCCGGGUGGCACAGCGGUUAAGUGCACACCCUCCACUUCGGCAGCCCGGGGUUUGCUGGUUUGGAUCCCAGGUGCGGACAUGGUACCACUUGGCACACCAAGCUGUGGCAGGCGUCCCACAUAUAAAGUGGAGGAAGAUGAGCAUGGAUGUUAGCUCAGGGCCAGGCUUCCUCAGCAAAAAGAGGAGGAUUGGCAGUAGUUAGCUCAGGGCUAAUCUUCCUCAAAAAAAAAAAGUUGAAAUCUCUCUUCUUCUUGACAGCCAUAGAGCAGAAAUCUGGCCUUCAGGAGUCCCCGCAGACAACUUUCUCCCGUGAUGCUCUCUCUAUCUGCCUUGGUUUUUGGAAGCUCUGCUUUCUUGCCCUCACUUAGAUAUCUCCUUGGAGAGAGAGCUUUGGAGAAACCAGAAUAAUUGGGCUCCAGGGAGAGCUGAGUGGCAGAGAUGAGGUUUAAACAAACUGACAAAAUAAUUUUUCUCCAUAUCAUGUUUUUAUUUCAAAACCCUGCUUAAAAAUGGACUUCUCAUUGAAGUAUUCUAUUUUUUAAGCAUUAUCAUCGUUAUUAUUAACAAUCACUUAUUGAGAAUCUAGUCAAAGAACAUUGCACUAGGUCCUUCAGCUAGGUUCUUUCAAUUGCUCUUCUGGCAUCCAUGAGAAAGAGGAAUUGUUACUCCUAUUUCAGAGAUUAAAAAACUGAGUGUUAGGGGCUGGCCCUGUGGCCGAGUGGUUAAGUUCACACGCUCCACUUCAGCGGCCCAGGGUUUCGCUGGUUUGGAUCCUGGGCGCGGACAUGGCACUGCUCAUCAGGCCAUGCUGAGGGGGCGUCCCACAUAUAAAGUAGAGGAAGAUGGGCAUGGAUGUUAGCUCAGGGCCAGGGGUUCGUGGGGUCAGAUCUCAGGCAGGGACUUACACACCACUCAUCAAGUCAUGCUGUGGCAGCAUCCCACAUGCAAAAAAUAGGGAAAGACACGCACGGAUGUUAGCUCAGGGACCAUCUUCCUCAAGCAAGAAGAGGAAGAUUGGCAACAGAUGCUAGCCCAGGGCCAAUCUUCCUCACCAAACCAAACC
ensembl:lncRNA